UCCUACGGGAGGCAGCAGUGGGGAAUUUUGGACAAUGGGGGAAACCCUGAUCCAGCCAUGCCGCGUGAGUGAAGAAGGCCUUCGGGUUGUAAAGCUCUUUCAGCCGGAACGAAAAGGUUACGGUUAAUACCCGUGACUAAUGACGGUACCGGAAGAAGAAG
rnacentral:rRNA from 1 species